rnacentral:rRNA from 1 species
UACGGAGGGUGCUAGCGUUGUUCGGAAUUACUGGGCGUAAAGGCGCGUAGGCGGCCACCGCAAGUCGGUUGUGAAAUCUCCGGGCUUAACCCGGAAAGGUCAAUCGAUACUGCGGGGCUAGAGUGCAGAAGGGCAACUGGAAUUCUCGGUGUAGCGGUGAAAUGCGUAGAUAUCGAGAGGAACACCUGCGGCGAAGGCGGGUUGCUGGGCUGACACUGACGCUGAAGCGCGAAAGCUAGGGAGCGAACGGG